rnacentral:rRNA from 1 species
CCCUAGUAACUGCGAGUGAAGCGGGAAAAGCUCAAAUUUAAAAUCUGGUGGUCUYUGGCCRUCCGAGUUGUAAUCUAGAGAAGUGUUAUCCGCGCUGGACCGUGUACAAGUCUCCUGGAAUGGAGCGUCAUAGAGGGUGAGAAUCCCGUCUUUGACACGGACUGCCAGGGCUUUGUGAUGCGCUCUCAAAGAGUCGAGUUGUUUGGGAAUGCAGCUCAAAAUGGGUGGUAAAUUCCAUCUAAAGCUAAAUAUUGGCGAGAGACCGAUAGCGAACAAGUACCGUGAGGGAAAGAUGAAAAGAACUUUGGAAAGAGAGUUAAACAGUACGUGAAAUUGCUGAAAGGGAAACGCUUGAAGUCAGUCGCGUUGKCCGGGAMUCAACCUUGCUUUUGCUGGGCGUACUUUCCGGAUGACGGGUCAGCAUCAAUUUUGACCGUUGGAUAAAGKCUAGRGGAAUGUGGCAUCUUCGGAUGUGUUAUAGCCUUUGGUCGCAUACAACGGUUGGGAUUGAGGAACUCAGCACGCCGCAAGGCCGGGUAYUUGUACCACGUUCGUGCUUAGGAUGCUGGCAUAAUGGCUUUAAUCGACCCGUCUUGAAACACGGACCAAGGAGUCUAACAUGCCUGCGAGUGUUUGGGUGGAAAACCCGAGCGCGUAAUGAAAGUGAAAGUUGAGAUCCYUGUCRUGGGGAGCAUCGACGCCCGGACCAGACCUUUUGUGACGGAUCYGCGGUAGAGCAUGUAUGUUGGGACCCGAAAGAUGGUGAACUAUGCCUGAAUAGGGUGAAGCCAGAGGAAACUCUGGUGGAGGCUCGUAGCGAUUCUGACGUGCAAAUCGAUCGUCAAAUUUGGGUAUAGGGGCGAAAGACUAAUCGAACCAUCUAGUAGCUGG